GAAACAUGGGAAGCAUUCGGCUUCCCGUGUAUGAUUGAACCCGCCAGACGUUUUGCUAAAGCAAACAGUCUGAUUUCGGGUUCAUUUUUUG
rnacentral:sRNA from 1 species